AACGAACGCUGGCGGCAUGCCUAACACAUGCAAGUCGAACGAGAUCUUCGGGUCUAGUGGCGCACGGGUGCGUAACGCGUGGGAAUCUGCCCUUUGGUUCGGAAUAACAGUUGGAAACGACUGCUAAUACCGGAUGAUGACGAAAGUCCAAAGAUUUAUCGCCAGAGGAUGAGCCCGCGUAGGAUUAGCUAGUUGGUGUGGUAAAGGCGCACCAAGGCGACGAUCCUUAGCUGGUCUGAGAGGAUGAUCAGCCACACUGGGACUGAGACACGGCCCAGACUCCUACGGGAGGCAGCAGUGGGGAAUAUUGGACAAUGGGCGAAAGCCUGAUCCAGCAAUGCCGCGUGAGUGAUGGAGGCCUUAGGGUUGUAAAGCUCUUUUACCCGGGAUGAUAAUGACAGUACCGGGAGAAUAAGCACCGGCUAACUCCGUGCCAGCAGCCGCCGUAA
rnacentral:rRNA from 1 species